AUGAUUAUUAUUGGUUGUGACUUGUGAGUGAGCACAAGUGCUAAAGCUGCUGCUGCUGCUGAGCGAAGGGCUAGUACAAACAUCCUACACACCCUCCUUUAGCAUGUACGUACCCACACUCACUCACUCACACACACUGCUCCCUAGCUGAUGGACAAAAAAGAAGAAGAAGAAGAAGGAAAAGAGAGAGAGAGAGUCAAGUCUGCUAUUGAAUUGAAAUGUAAAAAGUUAGAUUUGUGUAUCUGUACGUAUGUUUGUGUAUUUUUAUGUGUGAGAAGAUUGAGAAGGCGAAGCGAGUGUUUGAAGAAGAAUCGGUUUCCUCCUUCUCCUCCUCCUCGACAACGACGACGACGACGAAUAGGAGGAAGACAGCGGUUGUGUUAGCUCAUGGCGCGAGGAAUGAUUGUCCGCUUUUGAUUUGCUUGAGUAUUGUAUUGGAGGCAAGCUAAGGUUCGAAAGUGGUAGUGGAUUGUUGGGAUUGUUGGCUGGCUGGCUGGAGUGUUGUGUGUUGGUUGUGCGGGAUUGAUCGUGAUCGUGAUGAGGUGUAUGCUUGGGGUCUUCAAGCAUAGACGAAGAAAGAAAGGAUGAUGCUUAAUUCCAAGAUCCCCCUUCCUCAACGUUCCAUUUCCAGCUCUGGGCUGGAUUAUCACUCUCCUGCGGCAACUCAUACGUCUACUACAAAUCGCUCCCCUCUGACUUCGAGUCUCUCUUCCCCAGAGUCUGGCUUUCCCAAGAGUCGCAUCCCCCUUCCCUCAGGAUCUUCUUCCUCUUCCUCAUCCAACGGAUCCUCUCCCACCAAGAAACCAACGUCUCCAUCAAAGAUCCCCCUUCCCGUCACGAACGAGGUCCAACCUCAACGAACCAUGAGGAAAUAUGAAACCUUUGUCAUGACGGGAGAAAGGAUGCUCUGCAUCAGCAAAACACCGGCUAAAGCCAUCACAAAGAGCCUUCCUGCCUCUCCCUUGGAUAGAGUGGAUCACUCUCCUUCCAAAAUACCACUUCCAGCAGCUACCAAUGGAAAACAAACUUCCAUUUCUUCCUCUCCAGAAAAACAUAUCUCCCCAUUGGAGGAGGAUGACGACGACGAUUUAAAACCCUUUAAAACUCAAACUUCUCGUGUCUCUCGAACACCUGAGCCAAUAAUUUCGGCCCAGGCAGUAGCAGUAGCACUUCACCAUUCACUCGACUUGGAUGAAUCUAUUUCCCCCUCGCCAACAGAAGAUCGACUCAUAGACAAUAUGAACGACUCCAUCUCUUCAUCUUCUUCCUCAGAUGACAUCGAAGAAGUGGAACUAGAGGUUGAGCACUAUGAUGAUGCAUCUCUACGAGGGCCUUCCAUGAUACCCUUUAAUGGAGGUGGAGGAGUCCAGGAUCCUUCAUCUGAAGGGGAGUCCGAUUUAGAGUCUCUCCACAGUUAUCAUCCUCCUCCCAAAAUUGUUGAUGUUCCUAGUGCUAUUCGUCUCGCCAAACGACUUUAUCAACUUGAUGGUUUUCGUAAAUCCGAUGUGUCACGGCAUUUGAGUCGUAACAAUGAAUAUAAUCAAGUUGUUGCGGAAGAGUAUCUUAAAUUUUUUGAUUUUUCAAACUUGACUCUGGAUGGAGCUCUACGCUUAUUUUUAAGCCAGUUUUGUUUGACUGGAGAGACUCAGGAGAGAGAGAGAGUUCUAUUUUACUUUUCUAAGCGCUAUAUGGAGUGUAAUCCUGAAUGCAAAUCCAAGUUUUUGUCAUCUGACGCUGUUCACACACUUACCUGUGCUAUCAUGCUUCUUAAUACUGACCUUCAUGGAGACAGUGGUCAAAGGAAAAUGACUUCAGGAGAGUUUAUCAAAAAUUUAUCAGAGCUCAAUGAAGGGCAGGACUUUCCGAGGGAGCUCCUCAAAUCUCUAUACUACGCCAUUAAACAUGAACCCAUUCCUUGGGCCCUUAAUAACACUGUUGGUGGAGGGGAAAUCCCAAAGGAAAUCAUUGCUUCAGUUGGUGGAGGAGGAGGGGAUAAUGGUCUUGAUUCCUUUUCUCAUGAGGAUCAACAAUCUCGAGAGCGAGGGCGAUCAUGGGAAGAGUUAUAUCCCAAAAAAGAUUCCAAAGAAAACUCCUCUCAGGAGAAUCUACAAAGAGCUGCUACUGAAGAUGACAAUCUCUCUUCUAAUUUACUGCCCAAGCCCAUUAAUUUAGGCUCUGGAAUAAAUCCUUUCCUUGCUCUUCCAGAUCCUAUGAGCUCCACAGACUAUAAAAAAGGAUAUGUGAUGCGGAAAUGUUGUGUCGAUCCCAAUGGGAAACGUACAAAAUUGGGGAAACGUUCAUGGAAAAUGUUUUAUCUUAGUUUGCGUGACAUGGUACUCUAUUGUUUUAAGGAUGAAAAGAGCCUUCGAGCGCCGGGAGCGUUUGAGGAUCUUAAUCAAGCUAUACGAAUUCAUCACGGACUUGCUGUUCGAGCCUCGGACUAUACUAAGAAACAAUUUGUUUUCCGUCUUCACACUUGUGAUCAGGCAGAGUACCUUUUCCAAACCUCGGACGAGAAGGAGUUGCUUACGUGGAUAGACGCCAUUAAUUAUGUCGUUGCCUCAUUUUCCUCUCCGAAGCUACCUGCUCCUGUGAGCUCUUCCCACGCACGUUUUCAAAGGCCUUUGCUUCCUUCUUCAAAGUCAAAACUAUCUCCAGGAGAACAGCUUCAAGAAAAUGAAUCAGCUCUAUCUGAACUUCGACGUGAAUUAGAGGAGCACCUUCAAAAUAGACCUCCCAAAAACUCUUCUUCAGCUUCAAUUUCCUUCUUUAAAGACAAACAAGACUAUCUCAGUUUUGAAGUUCAACGAUACGAAACAUACAUUCUCACACUUCGAACAAAAUACACAUCAGAACAGUGCACCGAUGAUGGUGAUAAAUCCAAAUCAUUGGAAAGGAUUUUCUAAACAACAAUUAAGGAACAAUAUCUCUUAUCAAUCCUUCGCACACAUAAUUUCAUUGAUAGUACGCUCGAGAGUCUUUUUGAAUUUAUCUAAAAUUUUGCAUGACGUUGAGUUCGUUUUAUCAUUCGCCUGUGCACUGUUUUUAAAGU
rnacentral:misc_RNA from 1 species